CUCCGCGGGAAAAGCGUCCCUGUUAGUUGGACAAGGAGCUGUUUGGCUGAGGCAGUUUCCUCAAGAGUAAAGGCGGGCCUGUGCUAGGGUCACGCCAUCGACCUCCGUUUUCUUUACCCUUCUCUGUCACCAAACGAUAUUCCUGUCCAGUUACAAAGUGCAAGUUUUUUCCCUCAGGGAGUGCUCUUCAGAUCAAUACCUCUGGAAAAUGAGCUUCAGUGCAUUCCCAGCAAAGACUUCAGCCAAUCCCACAGCUGAGGUGGAGUAACAGAGGCCAGACUUAACCUUCCCAGCUGAAACAACUAAAAAAACAAGAAAAAAUACAUGAAAGAAUGGUUCUCCAGCCACUGAACAUCACACAGUGAAAGACCGUGAUUGCUGAGAGAUGAGAAACAAGCAAGCUUACAAUCUGAAGGUGUCCGUUCCUACACUGGUCAGACCACUGUCCUUGGGGCAGCUGGGGUCUUUGGGACCCUCCACCGGGCUCGCCGGUCCGUCGGACUUUUGGCUGAGAUCCGUGUCAGACUCCUCCGAAUAGUCGUCUGUUGGCAUCGAGGGCUGAACCCCUGAGGUGCUGCAUGAACUUGAGAGCGCGCUCUCGCACGCCAGGCAGUGGUACGAGCCGCCGCCACUACCGCCGCUGCCGCCGCCGCCGCCGCCGCCGCCACUGCCGCCGCCGCCCGUGGGGACGUGAAGCACCAUCUCUUGCAGGUUCACCACAGACUGGCCGAAGAAGCAGAGGGACUUCAGGUGGCUCCUCGCCGCCUCCUCGUCACCGAAGCCCGCCUGGCACUUGCGGCAGACCAACUUGUAAGAAGCCCAGGAGUAAGGAUCCAUUUAUGAGAGCUUCUUCUCGAUAGCAGUUCUGCCAGAACAGCUCUCUAAAAAAAAUACAGGCGGGGACCACAGAGGAACAGUCAUCAUUGUCCAGCUUAGUUUGGUCAAAGUUCAGAUUAACUGAGGACAUGGAGGGGCUUUCAAAGUCUUCAAUCCCUUCCACCUUGAUGGAAGAAGGACUAAGAAGAGUUCGGGGAGACAACUCCAUGGUUUUACUCACAGGGCUUGCACUGGCCUUUUCCUCCAGCUUCCUCUUCAGAGUGUUCAUUGUGGAGGUUGGAGUCGAAGGAGACGUGGCCGAGCUGGCUGGAAUCUGAGGACCCGGAGCUGGUCGUCGGUGAUCCUGGUGCGAGGCCUCUUGUUCUGCUGUUGGAGCAGGCUGGGAUUGAGCUGAUGCUGGUACAGCUGAGCCAGGUCCGCAGGCAGAGGCUCCACAGGUCCAAGCUGAGGGGGCAGCUGAGCCGGCAAGGUCUGCAGUGGCAUCGUCUGCAUCAUCAGUGGUGAGAAGAUGGGCAGCUCCAUGGGCAUGGAGAGUUGGCAUAGGAAGCCGGAAUCUUCUCUCACAGAGCCUGGGUCAGCAGAAGAGGGCUUCAGAUCUCCACUGUGCUCUGCGCUUACAGAGGGCAAGAUGUUCUUUCCCAGAUCCUCUGAGGUUUCUGUAAUUAAAAAAGAAAAAGAAAAAAAAAGAAAAAAAAAGCCAAGCCCAGUGAUAAAGAAGGCUUUGUUUCAAGGAUGGCACCCACAGCUAUCUACCUAGCGAGUCCUUGUGAACACUGAAUCUUAUAGUAAGGGAAAUACCCAAUUGGAACACAGAGUCUUUCCACACAGCCCCUGAAAAGAGUAUAUACUAUAAGCAAGUGCACAUGAACAGAGGGGACUAAAAGGAAAUAAAGUUGCAUGCAUAAUAGGUCUGUAUCCUAUCUUGGAUCUGUUUUUACAUGCCAUUCAGUUGCUUGACUCGGAAUCUUGAGUUUCUCAAGAACUGGUUUGAAGGUUACUGGUCUUAGACUGGAUUCCCCUUUUGCGUGGACCUGAACUAAAAAAUAUGUGAAUUAAUGCUAUCCUAAAUUGUGUUUUAAAUUAAUUAAGAUAACUGUUGUCCAUUGCAAUAUAAGAAAUUUUGGAAUAUGUUUUUUAGCAUAAUUUGUUAAAACUUUUGACUGACCUCUCUGUUCCAUAAGAAAUGAACAUUCAACUGGCCAUUAAAUUAUAUAAAAAUU